rnacentral:rRNA from 1 species
GAUGAACGCUGGCGGCGUGCCUAACACAUGCAAGUCGAGCGAAAAAUAAUUGAACAAAUCUUCGGAGGAGUGAUGUUAUGGAAAGCGGCGGACGGGUGAGUAACGCGUAGGCAACCUGCCCCAUACAGAGGGAGUAGCCUCGGGAAACCGGGAUUAAAACCUCAUAACGCGCCUGCUUCACAUGAAGCGGUCGCCAAAGAUUUAUCGGUAUGGGAUGGGCCUGCGUCUGAUUAGCUAGUUGGUGAGGUAACGGCUCACCAAGGCAACGAUCAGUAGCCGACCUGAGAGGGUAAACGGCCACAUUGGAACUGAGACACGGUCCAAACUCCUGCGGGAGGCAGCAGUGGGGAAUAUUGCACAAUGGGCGAAAGCCUGAUGCAGCAACGCCGCGUGAGCGAUGAAGGCCUUCGGGUCGUAAAGCUCUGUCCUUGGGGAAGAAAAAAAUGACGGUACCCUUGGAGGAAGCCCCGGCUAACUACGUGCCAGCAGCCGCGGUAAUAC